CCUCUGCUGGGGUGUGCGUGUCAUCCGUGCUGGAACCCAGCAGCUGCUCUGGACCAGUCUCCCUAUUCAACUCCAUGUGUCAAUAGUGAACAUCUUCUUUUCACCAUCACAAUCUUCAGGGAUUAGGUUUGUUGCUCCAGGGACACCAACACCAAUUUGCAGCUCGCCAGUGAAACGGCAAUUGUUUCCAUGAUCCCUCGCCUCCUCUGCCAACUUCCACAUUCCCUGUU